ACGGAGGAUCCAAGCGUUAUCCGGAUUUAUUGGGUUUAAAGGGUGCGUAGGCGGCCUAUUAAGUCAGAGGUGAAAUUUUGCAGCUUAACUGUAAACGUGCCUUUGAUACUGAUGGGCUUGAAUUAAGAUGAAGUGGGCGGAAUGUGACAAGUAGCGGUGAAAUGCAUAGAUAUGUCACAGAACACCGAUUGCGAAGGCAGCUCACUAAGGUUAGAUUGACGCUGAGGCACGAAAGCGUGGGGAUCAAACAG
rnacentral:rRNA from 1 species